rnacentral:rRNA from 1 species
CGUAGGGUGCAAGCGUUAAUCGGAAUUACUGGGCGUAAAGCGUGCGCAGGCGGUUAUGUAAGACAGAUGUGAAAUCCCCGGGCUCGACCUGGGAACUGCAUUUGUGACUGCAUAGCUUGAGUGCGGCAGAGGGGGAUGGAAUUCCGCGUGUAGCAGUGAAAUGCGUAGAUAUGCGGAGGAUCACCGAUGGCGAAGGCAAUCCCCUGGGCCUGCACUGACGCUCACGCACGAAAGCGUGGGGAGCAAACAGGAUUAGAUACCCUGGUAGUCCACGCCCUAAACGAUGUCAACUGGUUGUUGGGAAGGUUCCUUCUCAGUAACGUAGCUAACGCGUGAAGUUGACCGCCUGGGGAGUACGGCCGCAAGGUUG